UUGUGUGUGUUAAAGUAAAGUCCUGACUUUUAAUCAGUAGGUCCAGGGUUCGAAUCCCUGCGCGCUCACCA
rnacentral:tRNA from 1 species